rnacentral:misc_RNA from 1 species
GAUGAAGAACGUAGCGAAAUGCGAUACGUAAUGUGAAUUGCAGAAUUCAGUGAAUCAUCGAAUCUUUGAACGCAUAUUGCGCUCUUUGGUAUUCCGAAGAGCAUGCUUGUUUGAGUAUCAGUAAACACCUCAACCUCUUCUUGAUUUUUCAAAAGGAGGGUGGACUUGAGCUAUCCCAACAACCUUUACCGGUCGGCGGGCGGCUUGAAAUGCAGGUGCAGCUGGACUUUUAUCUGAGCUAAAAGCAUAUCUAUUUAGUCCUCGUCAAACAGGAUUAUUACUUUUGCUGCAGCUAACAUAAAGGAUAAUUGUCCUCUUUGCUGACUGAUGCAGGAUUUUACGACACUUUAUGUGUUGUUCAACUCGCUCUCAAAUCAAGUAAGACUACCCGCUGAACUUAAGCAUAUCAAUAAGCGGAGGA